GACGAACGCUGGCGGCGUGCUUAACACAUGCAAGUCGAGCGGUAAGGCCCUUUCGGGGGUACACGAGCGGCGAACGGGUGAGUAACACGUGGGUGACCUGCCCUUAGCUCUGGGAUAAGCCUGGGAAACUGGGUCUAAUACCGGAUAUGACCUCAUGACUCAUGUUGUGGGGUGGAAAGCCUUGUGCGGCUAGGGAUGGGCCCGCGGCCUAUCAGCUUGUUGGUGGGGUAAUUGCCUACCAAGGCGACGACGGGUAGCCGGCCUGAGAGGGCGACCGGCCACACUGGGACUGAGACACGGCCCAGACUCCUACGGGAGGCAGCAGUGGGGAAUCUUGCGCAAUGGGCGAAAGCCUGACGCAGCGACGCCGCGUGAGGGAUGAC
rnacentral:rRNA from 1 species